GACGAACGCUGGCGGCGUGCUUAACACAUGCAAGUCGAACGCUGAAGCCUAGCUUGCUGGGUGGAUGAGUGGCGAACGGGUGAGUAACACGUGAGUAACCUGCCCCCUUCUUUGGGAUAACGCCCGGAAACGGGUGCUAAUACUGGAUAUUCACUGAUCUUCGCAUGGGGGUUGGUGGAAAGGUUUGUUCUGGUGGGGGAUGGGCUCGCGGCCUAUCAGCUUGUUGGUGGGGUGAUGGCCUACCAAGGCUUUGACGGGUAGCCGGCCUGAGAGGGUGACCGGUCACAUUGGGACUGAGAUACGGCCCAGACUCCUACGGGAGGCAGCAGUGGGGAAUAUUGCACAAUGGGCGAAAGCCUGAUGCAGCGACGCCGCGUGAGGGAUGGAGGCCUUCGGGUUGUAAACCUCUUUCGCUCAUGGUCAAGCCGCAACAGUGGUUGUGGUGAGGGUAGUGGGUAAAGAAGCGCCGGCUAACUACGUGCCAGCAGCCGCGGUAAUACGUAGGGCGCGAGCGUUGUCCGGAAUUAUUGGGCGUAAAGGGCUUGUAGGCGGUUGGUCGCGUCUGCCGUGAAAUCCUCUGGCUUAACUGGGGGCGUGCGGUGGGUACGGGCUGACUUGAGUGCGGUAGGGGAGACUGGAACUCCUGGUGUAGCGGUGGAAUGCGCAGAUAUCAGGAAGAACACCGGGUGGCGAAGGCGGGUCUCUGGGCCGUUACUGACGCUGAGGAGCGAAAGCGUGGGGAGCGAACAGG
rnacentral:rRNA from 1 species